UUAAGCGACUAAGCGUACACGGUGGAUGCCCUGGCAGUCAGAGGCGAUGAAGGACGUGCUAAUCUGCGAUAAGCGUCGGUAAGGUGAUAUGAACCGUUAUAACCGGCGAUUUCCGAAUGGGGAAACCCAGUGUGAUUCGUCACACUAUCAUUAACUGAAUCCAUAGGUUAAUGAGGCGAACCGGGGGAACUGAAACAUCUAAGUACCCCGAGGAAAAGAAAUCAACCGAGAUUCCCCCAGUAGCGGCGAGCGAACGGGGAGCAGCCCAGAGCCUGAAUCAGUGUGUGUGUUAGUGGAAGCGUCUGGAAAGGCGCGCGAUACAGGGUGACAGCCCCGUACACAAAAAUGCACAUACUGUGAGCUCGAUGAGUAGGGCGGGACACGUGGUAUCCUGUCUGAAUAUGGGGGGACCAUCCUCCAAGGCUAAAUACUCCUGACUGACCGAUAGUGAACCAGUACCGUGAGGGAAAGGCGAAAAGAACCCCGGCGAGGGGAGUGAAAAAGAACCUGAAACCGUGUACGUACAAGCAGUGGGAGCACGCUUAGGCGUGUGACUGCGUACCUUUUGUAUAAUGGGUCAGCGACUUAUAUUCUGUAGCAAGGUUAACCGAAUAGGGGAGCCGAAGGGAAACCGAGUCUUAACUGGGCGUUAAGUUGCAGGGUAUAGACCCGAAACCCGGUGAUCUAGCCAUGGGCAGGUUGAAGGUUGGGUAACACUAACUGGAGGACCGAACCGACUAAUGUUGAAAAAUUAGCGGAUGACUUGUGGCUGGGGGUGAAAGGCCAAUCAAACCGGGAGAUAGCUGGUUCUCCCCGAAAGCUAUUUAGGUAGCGCCUCGUGAAUUCAUCUCCGGGGGUAGAGCACUGUUUCGGCAAGGGGGUCAUCCCGACUUACCAACCCGAUGCAAACUGCGAAUACCGGAGAAUGUUAUCACGGGAGACACACGGCGGGUGCUAACGUCCGUCGUGAAGAGGGAAACAACCCAGACCGCCAGCUAAGGUCCCAAAGUCAUGGUUAAGUGGGAAACGAUGUGGGAAGGCCCAGACAGCCAGGAUGUUGGCUUAGAAGCAGCCAUCAUUUAAAGAAAGCGUAAUAGCUCACUGGUCGAGUCGGCCUGCGCGGAAGAUGUAACGGGGCUAAACCAUGCACCGAAGCUGCGGCAGCGACGCUUAUGCGUUGUUGGGUAGGGGAGCGUUCUGUAAGCCUGUGAAGGUGUGCUGUGAGGCAUGCUGGAGGUAUCAGAAGUGCGAAUGCUGACAUAAGUAACGAUAAAGCGGGUGAAAAGCCCGCUCGCCGGAAGACCAAGGGUUCCUGUCCAACGUUAAUCGGGGCAGGGUGAGUCGACCCCUAAGGCGAGGCCGAAAGGCGUAGUCGAUGGGAAACAGGUUAAUAUUCCUGUACUUGGUGUUACUGCGAAGGGGGGACGGAGAAGGCUAUGUUGGCCGGGCGACGGUUGUCCCGGUUUAAGCGUGUAGGCUGGUUUUCCAGGCAAAUCCGGAAAAUCAAGGCUGAGGCGUGAUGACGAGGCACUACGGUGCUGAAGCAACAAAUGCCCUGCUUCCAGGAAAAGCCUCUAAGCAUCAGGUAACAUCAAAUCGUACCCCAAACCGACACAGGUGGUCAGGUAGAGAAUACCAAGGCGCUUGAGAGAACUCGGGUGAAGGAACUAGGCAAAAUGGUGCCGUAACUUCGGGAGAAGGCACGCUGAUAUGUAGGUGAAGUCCCUCGCGGAUGGAGCUGAAAUCAGUCGAAGAUACCAGCUGGCUGCAACUGUUUAUUAAAAACACAGCACUGUGCAAACACGAAAGUGGACGUAUACGGUGUGACGCCUGCCCGGUGCCGGAAGGUUAAUUGAUGGGGUCAGCGCAAGCGAAGCUCUUGAUCGAAGCCCCGGUAAACGGCGGCCGUAACUAUAACGGUCCUAAGGUAGCGAAAUUCCUUGUCGGGUAAGUUCCGACCUGCACGAAUGGCGUAAUGAUGGCCAGGCUGUCUCCACCCGAGACUCAGUGAAAUUGAACUCGCUGUGAAGAUGCAGUGUACCCGCGGCAAGACGGAAAGACCCCGUGAACCUUUACUAUAGCUUGACACUGAACAUUGAGCCUUGAUGUGUAGGAUAGGUGGGAGGCUUUGAAGUGUGGACGCCAGUCUGCAUGGAGCCGACCUUGAAAUACCACCCUUUAAUGUUUGAUGUUCUAACGUGGACCCGUAAUCCGGGUUGCGGACAGUGUCUGGUGGGUAGUUUGACUGGGGCGGUCUCCUCCUAAAGAGUAACGGAGGAGCACGAAGGUUGGCUAAUCCUGGUCGGACAUCAGGAGGUUAGUGCAAUGGCAUAAGCCAGCUUGACUGCGAGCGUGACGGCGCGAGCAGGUGCGAAAGCAGGUCAUAGUGAUCCGGUGGUUCUGAAUGGAAGGGCCAUCGCUCAACGGAUAAAAGGUACUCCGGGGAUAACAGGCUGAUACCGCCCAAGAGUUCAUAUCGACGGCGGUGUUUGGCACCUCGAUGUCGGCUCAUCACAUCCUGGGGCUGAAGUAGGUCCCAAGGGUAUGGCUGUUCGCCAUUUAAAGUGGUACGCGAGCUGGGUUUAGAACGUCGUGAGACAGUUCGGUCCCUAUCUGCCGUGGGCGCUGGAGAACUGAGGGGGGCUGCUCCUAGUACGAGAGGACCGGAGUGGACGCAUCACUGGUGUUCGGGUUGUCAUGCCAAUGGCACUGCCCGGUAGCUAAAUGCGGAAGAGAUAAGUGCUGAAAGCAUCUAAGCACGAAACUUGCCCCGAGAUGAGUUCUCCCUGACUCCUUGAGAGUCCUGAAGGAACGUUGAAGACGACGACGUUGAUAGGCCGGGUGUGUAAGCGCAGCGAUGCGUUGAGCUAACCGGUACUAAUGAACCGUGAGGCUUAACCUU
rnacentral:rRNA from 1 species